UGGGCCUGUGGUACAAUAUUCGAUUCUCUAUUUGCACCAGUGUAAAAAGGGAUAUGGAAGUAAUUCUGUGUCUGUCCAAGGUGAAAGAUUCAGUAACCGUUUGUGCAGUGUGAUCAUAGCUGCAGAGUUGGGUUGAAUCCGAGUUCUGCUGCUGAUUAGCUAUGUGACCCUGGGUCAAUUGCUUAACCACUCUGUACAUUAAAUUCCUCAGUUUAGAGUGGGAAUAUUAAUAGUUCUGGUAUUCCCCGAUUUUUGAAGGUUUGCUUUAACGCCAUUUCACUUUUAUGAAAGACCUCACAUUAGUUAUAUGUCCUUGCUAACCAAAAGAAACCCAAAGAGACUUUUUGCUUUUAGGAAAAAAAAGCAAAGAGUGAAACUAGCAUUCAGCAUUUGUUUUGCAGAGAGCCUUAUAGAGGUAGCCUGUACCCCAAUUAGAGAGAGCCAUUCCGCCAAGCUCUUUACCCAGGAACUAUACUCAGCAUCUCAGCAUCAAGCCACCAUAGCUUUGAACUGCCUGCGAGCAUCUGUGGUUUACCUCGGUUUAUUUUGUGCGUCCUUCGGCAAGAUGUAUCCUAAGGCGUUUUAA
rnacentral:lncRNA from 1 species